rfam:Triticum urartu cultivar G1812 contig753443, whole genome shotgun sequence.
CAUCUACUCCCUUCGUCCGGAAAUACUUGUCAUCAAAAUGGAUAAAAGAGGAUGCAUCUAGAUGUAUUUUAGUUCUAGAUACAUCUCUUUCUAUCCAUUUUAAUGACUAUUUUCGGACGGAGGGAGUAGAUG